UUCAACCUAACCGCCUGUCCGUGACUCACCCCUCCAGGCGAUGACCGUGUCUUUCUUCUUCUCGGCCGGCGGCGCGGCCGAUGUGGUCAUGCACGCAGGACAGGAAGCACGGCGACCUGCGUCUGUGCGGAGGCGAAACUCAGGCCGCGGUGGCGCGCCGUCCCGUUGCCAUUUUCCAUGUCCUCGCCAUCACCGUGUGCCCAUGCGCUGCCGAUCUUGACUUCGAUCCCCCCUUACCCGUCGACGCCUCCAGCUCGCGACCUCCCAGGCCGCCGGAGCCCUGCAGGCCUGUGUCACCUCGCCACUAUCUCGACCUUGUGUUCGCCUACACCGUCAGUGCCUUGCCCUCAAGCGCCACUAGAGCCCUUGGCCCCGCGUCUUUGUACGUGGCGAGGUGCAGCCUUGGCUAGGCUGGAGCCAAAGCCGGCAAUGGCUACUACAACGGCAUCGACUUCUUAGCUGCCAAACUGGGUGAACUGCCAAGCGUUGGAGCUUUUUCUUCUGCGUGUUAUGGCACUGAGAUUUGUACCGGGACUUGUGGCAUAUGAGAAGAGAUGCUAAGGAGAGAGAACUCAAUGCAUUGCUUGCUUCAUCAGAGGUGCAAGAAGGAGCCGGAGGCUUUGAGAGCAUGCUAUCAUGGUUAUGAACAUGUAUGGAUUAGCAACUGGGAGUCUGGGAUACAGUCACUGUAGUAAGAAAUGCCUGGUGAACUGAAUCAAGAAUGGCCUAAUUGUACCUUGCCUUUUCUGUCACUGGCAAGGACGAUCUGCUGGGCGACGUCAGGCCGUGUGGCACGCCGGUCAAGGAGUUCACCUUCGCCGCCGCGCUCAUAGCAUUUGGAAUGCUCAAUGUUGUCACCCCGUCUUCAUAGCCGUUGUCUGUCCACCGUGUCGGCGGUACAAAUUGGCAUUCGAAUGGUUCAAUUUUAGUGCAACUUGUACGCCCAUGUUUCCUGUGGUCCAUGGCAACCUAUGUACUGAAGUCCAUUUCGACAAAGAACAAAGGUAGAAUGGCAUAUUUAUCCUAGAAACUAGGGAGUUUCAAACCGUUUCGGGUAAUAUGAGGUUGUGCCACUAUUUUUAUGUUGUAUUAAUCCGGGGGAUUUCAUACCUCAAGCCCCAGAUAGAAGGGUCUAGGCUGGGCAUUUUUGUUGCUGUUGAUGCAAUAGAUCUUUGAGGGAAAAGCAUGUGACGAUUGACAAUAAAGCGAAGAACUGAUGCGGUGGAUGAGAAGUCCAAUUUUGUAGGUAUUGAAUACAAAUUGUUAUAAAAAGGAAAUAGAAUGUUAUUUGGCCCAACUGGACUAUCCAGUGGUUUUCUGUGUCAUGUUCAUCUUCACAUGUAUCUUAUAAUUAUUGUAUCUAGAGAUGUUGAACUUUUCAAUGAUGAGAGUCUCGUGUAGAAAGGCACCAAUAUUGUUUUGUUAAAAUACUGUUUAGUCCCGAAGUUCAGACAA